GUCAACACACCGAUCGAAAGGGAGUCGGGUUCAGAUCCCCGAAUCUGGAGUGGCGGAGAUAGGCGCCACGAGGCGUCCAGUGCGGAAAUGCAAACGAUCCCGGAGAAGCUGGCGGGAGCCCCGGGGAGAGCAUCGUUUAGGGAAAGGU